CAAUUUUUGUAUUUUAAUUAGAGUCGGGGUUUCACCAUGUUGCGUAGGCUGCUCUUGAACUCCUGACCUACUUUUGUCGGUUGUUUUCGUAUCAGAUAUACCCAGGGAUAGAGGUAUUACUCUGUUUUCUUCUAACAACAAGAAGUGAAGAUAAUGGGUGCCUAAUAAAUGCAAAUAUAAGGUCAUUUCUGUAGCACAGAAAAAUCUUUUGUGUUUAUCAACAUUCAUGAUUUUUCUUGUUACCUAUGUAUUAUAACUACUUUACUAUAUACACAGAUAUAUUGUCAAUCACAUCUAUAUGAAUUGUGGAUAUGACUUACUUGAUUAUUCUACCUUAAUUUAUAAGGAAUGACUAUCUCAGGAAGCAUGACUAGAAAGCAGAUGUAGUUGAAGUCAAUGUUUUCUCUGACUUCAGUUUGAAAUGGAACAUCAAGAAGUAUGUAUUAAACAUCUGCUAUGUGAUAGGCACUGUACUAAUUGAUAUUUUAUUUCUAUGGAUAGUGGCCUUUCCAGGGGUAUUCCUGUGGGAGGGGAGGGGGAUAAGGAAGGGAAGAGGCUCAAAUGAUUCUACCUGCUGUUCCCAUGGUUAUUGGUCUGGUUAUCCAGCACACUGGUGAAAAGGUGGAGGUCUUGCUCAUAUUUGUGGUACAGUUUUUUUGGCUUUUCUGUCUUGCUUCUCUAGAGUAUCUCUGUUAGGGCACUUGUUAACUAAAUAUUUCACAUCUGGUCUUCUGAACGUCUUCAGUCUUUGGUGUUUACAGUACUUCUUAUGAAGUUAUAAAUUUUACUUUCUUUGCAGGUGUCAUUUAUGCAAUAUGUUUUGGACUCAAUUUUUUUUAAAACUUACAAACUUCCAAUAAUCCAACGAAAGUGCCAGAAUAAGGCCAUUUCUGGUAAAUUGAAGAGCUUCCUGGUAUUUCAAGCAAUCCAGGUAAGAGACACAGAAAACUGUAAAUGAUGCAAAAACAGCUGAACUGAAUAUGAGAGAUGUUCAAGAGUUAUGACCUGAGAAGAUGUCCCCGCCAUCAAUAGACAUUGCAGGAUGUGAUACCACUCUGGAGGACUUUGAAGUUUCUGGAUUUGGUUGAAGAAAGAUGCUUUGGACAUUUUGAAUUUGAGAUGCUUCUCCAGAAGUCUUAUGGAUCUGAAGCAUGGGAGAGGAGUAUAAGCUGGGGAAAUAAGUUUGGGGGUUACCAGAAAACUAGCAGUGGGUAAGGCCAUGAGCAAAUGAAAUCAAAUAGAGGAUGAAGAGAACAGGAGCCCUAGCAAACCUUGACAGUUAAAGAGUAUGCAGGGAAAAGGACUUAGAAAGGACCCUGUAAAGAAAGAUCCAAGAUGACCUGAAGAACUGGUGCCAGGAUCUAUUUUUGUCAUCACCAGCCAGGAAGGAUACAAGGCCUCUUCCAAGAUGAAGACGAAACUAUUGACAGAUAUUUUGUCAAGACCAAAUUUUCCCUAAGGGCCCUGUCAUAGAUUGUUCCCUGGGCAGGAUGCAGCCUCCUUCAGAGAGUGAAGAACACACCAAAAGAUCCUCUACUAAAUUAAUCAUAAGCCACAUGAGGCAGGCUGGAAUACAGUUACCAAUCUGCUUUAAUUCUCCCACUUAGAUGGCCUGAAGCCGCCUGAACUGAAAGUUGGAUGAAGCUCGGCUUUGAGUUUCAUCGCGGGGCAUCGUGUGGCCUAAGUCCUUAGCCAAUGCCUGCCAAAUAUUAGCUUGAGUCGCAAUAAAGAGAAAAGGUCCAAAUUCUC
rnacentral:lncRNA from 1 species